GACGAACGCCGGCGGCGUGCCUAAUACAUGCAAGUUGAGCGAUGAAGAUUGGUGCUUGCACCAAUUUGAAGAGCAGCGAACGGGUGAGUAACGCGUGGGGAAUCUGCCUUUGAGCGGGGGACAACAUUUGGAAACGAAUGCUAAUACCGCAUAAUAACUUUAAACAUAAGUUUUAAGUUUGAAAGAUGCAAUUGCAUCACUCAAAGAUGAUCCCGCGUUGUAUUAGCUAGUUGGUGAGGUAAAGGCUCACCAAGGCGAUGAUACAUAGCCGACCUGAGAGGGUGAUCGGCCACAUUGGGACUGAGACACGGCCCAAACUCCUACGGGAGGCAGCAGUAGGGAAUCUUCGGCAAUGGACGAAAGUCUGACCGAGCAACGCCGCGUGAGUGAAGAAGGGUUUCGGAUCGUAAAACUCUGUUGGUAGAGAAGAACGUUGGUGAGAGUGGAAAGCUCAUCAAGUGACGGUAACUACCCAGAAAGGGACGGCUAACUACGUG
rnacentral:rRNA from 1 species